AUAUGCAUGAGGUUCAUUUGAGCCUAAAUAUAAAGCUUCACCAGGGUUGAGUUUCACAUAAUUUAACAAGUAUGCAGCUAAGACACCAACAUCAGCUGGAUACUGCUUCUCGAGUCUUAAAAUCAGUUGUUCUUUGUCCGUUAGGUGCCUCACCUACAACACCGAAGAUAAAUGCAAAUCUAUAUAAAUAAGAAUAAUUGGCAAGAUGAACUUAAGCAGCAAGGGUUACAGCUAAUAUACUUGACAAGACCAUAAGCAGUGCGGUUUCACCACAUAAUUUACAUAAGAAUAACUUAUACAACAACAUAAGUACUAGAAACUCAAAUCCAAAAUGUAUCCCGUAGUUUCCAGAUGACAGAAUUUGAUGCAGAUAAAGUCAAGUGUCACUUUUGUGGCUGUGAAAAAGGUUCGACACAUCCAAGGCGCAACAAUAAUAGGAGAUAAAGGAAAACUAAAUAAUGACAUUUGCAGUGAUACACAGAACGAAAAUCAAAUCCAAACAGAUUAUCUCCUUGGUAGGAAUUGCACAACAAAUGCAACUUGAUUGAGGUUAUCACAGGUGCGUUUCAGCUGAUCCAUCCACAGUUAAUGUGGAAGAGAACGAGUCCCUUUUUUCUUAUUUCUUUUUUAAUCUGAGAAUGAACGAAGAUAAGACAGAUCAGCUGGAGCUAUAAAAUACAGAAAUCCCAUAUUCAAAUCAAUAAAACAUUGUGAUACUCUCAGCAGUCGCAUUUUCACAAAUCGGCCUUACAUUUUCUGCCAGUGCAAGUCACCACCAUAUAAGAGCAACACAUGUCAGUUAGUAGAGGCCCCGCAAGUAUGCUUUUGUGCUAGGAGAUAGGACUGGAACAAAGGCACAUAAACUGGCGACAACGAUCAAACCUUCCCAAAAACUCAGAGAAGUACUAUCCACAUGAACGAGUUUACUACCAUGCAGAAGCACAAAAAGGAGACCUCCAAUUACUGCCCAAGUAAACCAAACAACUUAUAGUUUCACUUGAUUGUGGAUCAAUUUGGACUACCUGAUCGUCAAUGUUUAGGCGACUAAUCAGCUUGGCUAACACUUCAACAAUCACAUCCUUGCGAACUGACAUUAUGUCAGUAAAUGCCGAUUGUAGCAUUAAUCUAACUUCCUCCUCCCCAUCAUCUUCAUUCAAGUUUAAAAUUUGCUCCGCUUUUGCAUUACCAAUCACUUCGACAACCUCGGGCGUAGUUUUAACAGUCAACUUGAGCUCCUGGAAAAAAAUUCAAUAUACUUAUCAUCACAAUCAAUUACUUUUCUGGAAAAUAGCCAUGCAAGUUAAACCCAUUCCAUCAACUCAAGUCAAGGAGCACAAUAACUUUGCUUCUCAAGCACAUCAACAACAUGAAUAAGGUAUACAACUACCUUUCCUGCUAGUGGCGGAUCUACAGUUUUAGCAGCAGGUGCGCAUCAGCACUUCCUACGUAUGAUUUGAAGUAUAAAUACAUAUAAUUGAAAUUUUUUAUAAGAAAUAUAUUCACACUAGAUUCAUACUCACUGUAACAGAUAAGUCGUGGCUACGGUGUAGCUCCACCCACUGACUUAAAAUCUUGGAUCCAGAUCUCUCAAAAUAAGAAGCUUGUCAACCAGAAUAAAUUUCUGUCUUCUACUUACCUGUUUAUAUCUGCAGUCUUAACAUAUACUG
rnacentral:lncRNA from 1 species